AGGAUGAACGCUGGCGGUGUGCCUAAUACAUGCAAGUCGAACGGGAUCUUCGGAUCUAGUGGCGGACGGGUGAGUAACACGUUGGUACCUACCCCUAAGUGGGGAAUAACUGCCCGAAAGGGUGGCUAAUACCGCAUAAUCCCGCAAGGGUAAAGCAGUAAUGCGCUUAGGGAGGGGCCUGCGUCUGAUUAGUUAGUUGGCGGGGUAAUGGCCCACCAAGACUAUGAUCGGUAUCC
rnacentral:rRNA from 1 species